rnacentral:rRNA from 1 species
UGGGGAAUAUUGCACAAUGGGCGCAAGCCUGAUGCAGCCAUGCCGCGUGUGUGAAGAAGGCCUUCGGGUUGUAAAGCACUUUCAGCGAGGAGGAAGGGUAGUGUGUUAAUAGCACAUUGCAUUGACGUUACUCGCAGAAGAAGCACCGGCUAACUCCGUGCCAGCAGCCGCGGUAAUACGGAGGGCGCAAGCGUUAAUCGGAAUUACUGGGCGUAAAGCGCACGCAGGCGGUUUGUUAAGUCAGAUGUGAAAUCCCCGCGCUUAACGUGGGAACUGCAUUUGAAACUGGCAAGCUAGAGUCUUGUAGAGGGGGGUAGAAUUCCAGGUGUAGCGGUGAAAUGCGUAGAGAUCUGGAGGAAUACCGGUGGCGAAGGCGGCCCCCUGGACAAAGACUGACGCUCAGGUGCGAAAGCGUGGGGAGCAAACA